UCUUCAACUCUGUGGAUGCAGG
rnacentral:miRNA from 1 species